UACGAACUGUGCAAACGUUAUUCGGAAUCACUGGGCUUAAAGGGCGCGUAGGCGGGCUCGCAAGUCAGGGGUGAAAUCCCACGGCUCAACCGUGGAAGUGCCUUUGAUACUGCGGGCCUUGAGGGAGGUAGGGGCGUGCGGAACUUCCGGUGGAGCGGUGAAAUGCGUAGAUAUCGGAAGGAACACCGGUGGCGAAAGCGGCGCGCUGGACCUCUUCUGACGCUGAGGCGCGAAAGCCAGGGGAGCAAACGGG
rnacentral:rRNA from 1 species